UGUCAAUGUGUACGAGGUCCUGUCCUUGGGUACAGUGACUUCUGAGGCGAUCCCAGAGGAUGGGGUAAAGGCUUUAGUCCCGUCUGGUUAAAGGAUGUAACAUCACUGGGGACCUGAGCAAUCACUCCCCCUUCAUUGUUCUGGACAGUGGGGAGAAGCAGAGAAAGCAAAAGAGAAAAGUCACUGGGAGAGGAAUCUGAUGAGAGAAAGAUAAAGAUGAAUUAGGACUCAGUGAGACAACCAAACAUGAAGUACAAAGAAAGGAAAAAGAGAGCUUGGAAAAAGAGAAUAACAAGAAGAGAAGAAGGAGACAAGAGGGAAGAGACAAUGAGAAAGAGUAACUUGACAAGAUUGAAUCUAGAAUUUAUUAUUUAUUAUCUAUCUUUCUAUCUUAUCUUUCCCUCUCUCUUUCUCUCCAUAUACUUUCUAUGAGUGUCUUCAGAAGUGGAGGAGACAAGAGGGCCUUUUUUGGAGGGCAUUGCCAUUCUCCCCUAUUCUUUGGCCUCUAUUUAUGGUACCCAGGGUGCGUUAUAUGUAAUUUAUAGCCAUACUCUUAUAAAUCAGUGUCAUGAAUGCCCCCCAGUGGCCUCAACCUACAGAUCACAACAGUUAUUAAACCAUGUGGCCAUGCAUUUGGCCUUGGCAUUCCCUGGUCAGCUUCUCUUUUAAUUAGAGUUUUACAUACUGGAUACAUGUAACAGUAGAACCUGGCAUAACUUUUUCUUCCUGAGCAACAAGGUGACUUGAUUGUUCCAAUUGUUAUAUAACUCAAUUGCCUGCCAUAUUUUAUUUAUCAUUUUAACUCAAAUAAGACAUAUUGGUACAGAUGUCUGUUUAGAUAUAUUUACCUUGCUGUGAAUGUGACUAUGAUAUGACUGUAUCCACAUAAGAGAAUGGGGCAUACAGGUUUAUUGAAUAGAGCCCUGGGAUAGGAGGUGGAGGCCCAGGUACUCAUUUUUAAGCCUGUCACCAACUAGUUGUAUGAUGUCCUUCAAGUUUUCUGAAUCACAGUCUCUAUAAAUUAAACUAAACUAGAUGUAAAAUGAAGGGUCCUUCAAGUUUUCUGAAUCAUAGUCUCUAUAUAUUAAACUAAACUAGAUGUAAAAUGAGGGGUCAUACCCUGUGAACUUGAAGAUCUUUUGUAAUUCUAACAGUUCAUGGCUCUAAGAAUUUUGAAGUAAAAGAAUGGUGAAAUCAUA